AGAGAGUAUGCUGUUGAAUGUUGUGUGAGCUGGAAGACUAGAACACCAGCAGGGCAGAGUUGGGCUAAAACUUCCAGGGAAGGUAGCAGUGAGGAAGUUGGUCCUACUGGAACCUGCUAGGCCUUGAGAGAGAAGAAGGAAAUCACGUUCGCCUGCCAUGUGAACUUGUAAAAACAAAAAAUGAGAGCAGAGAGGAGGGGCUGCUUCCCUCAAUGCUGCAAAUGUAAUUCGACGUGGCUUUGCUCAACUUUUACCCCGCAACAUGAAGCCAUGUGUGAAUACCUCCCGUGGGAAGAGCAGGCGUGUGUUAGAGAUGUGCAUGGAACUGUGGCAGCGAGGCUCGAAGGCGGCAGGUGUGUUGGAGACUUCUGGACAUAUCUGGACAACGGGGCGGCAGGGAGGUACACUGCCGCCCCAAUGGGCUUGCAAGUAAAUGGAUGCCGGUGGGGGGAAAGUGGUGAGAGUGGUAAGUGCAUCCUCCCCCGCUCUUAAAGGUAGAACCACCUCCCCCCUCCACCGUUGAACCAGAAUUGCCAGCUCUGUGCAUAACCCUAGUGUGUGUUCACAUAUUGUCUAGAUUUACAUCAAAGUCACUGCGAGCUAUCGGGGAGCACUCCAUACAUGAUUUGGUUUUUUUAUUGUACAUUGGAGCUUUGCCCGAUUUAUGUCCAGUGUAAAAAACUCCACUUUUUGCAUCAUUAUGGGGGGGGGGGGGAUUCAAAAUAUCCUAUAUGCCCCUUAACUCACAGUACUUCGCUCCUCUUAAUUCCUGCUGUCUGGGAAAGGCCAUGGUUGCCCAUCAGCUUUUGAAAGUGAACUUCCAAUUCCAGGAAAGUCAAAUCCACAAAAGCAAACAAGAACAUGUCCUCAUGAUUUUCCACCUAGCUUCAUGAGUAUGAACAUUCGAAGAUGGCAGUACAUGGCUUUCAGUCACUGCUGGAAGCUAGGAUGCAAACAAAAAUUAUAGCCUUUCUAAAAUUAUUAAGAAGAGAACAAAGAGAGAUAACUACUUUCCCCUCACACAGCACUAGAACUCUGGGUAUUCCAAUAAAAAUGAUGGACACAACAACAAAUGUAGUACAGGCAACAAACGAAAGAACAUAUAAUUGCCUGAAGGAAUCCAUUCACUUCAAGAUGGUGGUUUUUAAAAAUGAUUUUAUCUAUCAUAACUAAUAAUCACUGACUGACUUUCACAAAUUUUUGUAACUCUAAUUCAUUUAUCAGUGGCCAUUCAGCAUGGUAAGGAAAAAUGAACUCUUUAGCACAAUGGCACUCUGACUCAGUCCAGGGGGCACUCAGAGCGCUGUUCCACGGUGAAGAGGAUGGGGCUUGUGCCAGCAGAGUAGUUGAGAACUGCAGCUUAAAACCAUUUAAAGUUUAAUAUACUGUAUACAGCUUUGAAGGUUUUUUUAAUCAAACAUCACUUUAUAUCUAUAAUGCAAAAUUAUGAUCCUGCAACCCAGUGUAAAAGGAACCUGCCCACUGCAAGUUUCUGCCUGCCGCUGAAACUUAUUCUUUCUAAGAAGACUCUGGGCUUAAAUAUUGAGCUUUCUGUAAACAACAGCUCCAGUUUUAUGUUUGUAUGGGAUCCAGAUGCAGCAUUCAGUUUAAAUAGUGCAUGAUGUAUGUUCUGUUGCCCAUUUGUAACAUACCAAAAAGAAACUCUCUAAGCAACAAUCCGGGAGGUAAGCCAAAUCCCAAUUGUCUUGAUUUUCUGCAGGUUUGCUCUUUUCUCUUAACACUAUAGUAAGGUGGAAUCUUUAGUGCGGAUUUCUUUGAUAAACUGGAGAAGGUUCACUGUGUGCAGUGCCUGAUUUACUGGAACAAAUCUGAUGACAUUCCAUUAAAAAGACUUUCAGUUUUGCUUCACAUUAAGAGUCCAACUAGGAAUGUGCCAACUAGGAAUGUGCGAAUCAGUUCAUGUAUCUGGAUGUUCUGCCUCCAGGGCCAGUCUUACCAUGAAACAGUCACUUUGAAAGUAAGAUUCCAGAGGGUCCCAUUAUACUGUGGAACUCUUCUCACGAUCGGUGAGACAAUCUCUGGAGCAGCUUGCGGGGAAAGUGAGUUUCGCCUACCUUCUCCGCAGACAAUUGUGUUUCCUUCCCUGGGUAGCAGAUCCGGGUUCGGGGUGCCGGGACGCACCAACGCGGCCCGCCCCCAGGAGUCCCAAUAAAGCACUGCACGAGUGCACAGUAGAUUACUGGGAUCCCGCUCCCCCUGAGUGUGCCAGCUGUGGCUGCAAGCAGCUACGGCUGACACACGAUUUUAAAAAAUGAGGUUAAGGGAGCUCUCUCGCCUUUACGCUCGUUUAACUCGGUGGCUACUUUGGUGGAUUUGCUGUUGUGUAGCCACCGGGAUUGGUCUCAAGCCCAGUGGUUCACAUGAGCGUGCAAAACCAGGCCGAGCUCCCUUAGCCCAGUUUUGCACACUCGUGUGAAUAGCCUCAGUGACAUCCGUCUUCAGGGUCAGCACUCUUUACUUGUACCUAUGAAAAGAUUAUCUUUGAAGGGGAAAAGACGGUCUUUGAAGGGUGUUACGGUCAGAGGUAUUGGCAUGCCGCUUCCCAUCUCCGCGCCCGAGUGGUGGGGCAGGGUGUGGGGUUGUGCACCCGGCUGAGAGGCAGGCACAGCAAUGGCCAUCUUGGGUCCCCUUCAUGUGGCCAGGGUCUGGCCAAUCAGGAGAGGGGGCCGGGGGAAAGAACUAGCCCGGCAGCCUCCUCGUCAUCAGUCUCUUUGCUGCCGUCAGUCUCUUUGCUGUAUUAAAAAGAUGGGUGUCUACAAUAUUUACCCAAAUAUAAGGUGAGUCUGAAUUUAAGACCAUACCUUAAAAGACAAAGAGUUAAAUACAGGUUAUACCUGUAUUUACCCAAAAGAAAGAGGACUCUGAUUUCAAGCCAACCCCUCUAUAAUUAACAGGAAAGAAGGGGAGGGGGCUUGUCUAGGAUUUGAGUAAGUAUUUUAUAGCCACGGCAAACUAGGAAAACAGCACACACACAAAAGGGAGCUGAUCUAACAUGCAUCGCCUUUGCAAAAUGAAGGGAUAUGAAGCACAAAAUAUCUUGUCACAAUUGCCUAUUUUCAGACUUUGGUUGUUUAAAGCUGAGAUUCAUUCUUGGGACUAAGAUGUGUUUCCUGAAUAAACUAAUUCAUACUUGUUGAACUGCUAUUUUUGAAGGUCCAAGAAAUAAGAAAGAGAAUUGGAUUUUGCACUACUCUGUCUUUCACUGAUGAACAACAGUAAUUAAAUGGCAAGGUGCAACCAACUACAGGUGUUUGGUUGUUUUUUUAAAUAUUACUUUGUAAAGUGAUGAAAGAAAAAGGAAUUUGCCCUUUUGUCAGACAGUGGAAACAGAAUACUGUGCAUGGCUGUAACCAAGGGGGAGAGCAGAUUGUAUUUGUGAGUUGAAUAUAUGACGUACAACAUAAUUUACUUCUGUUUUUAAAUUGCUAAUUCAAUAGCUUCCUUUUUCUUUUUUUAAACAAAGGCAUUAAUUGGAAUCAAAGUAUAAAGGCAUAGAAUAGAA